AUGGUUGAAACUAAGAAAAAUCUGGUAUUUCCAUUGGUAUACAAACUUAUUGACUUGGCUUUGAUAUUGCCGGUGUCAACUGCAUCUGUUGAGAGAGCAUUUUCAGCAAUGAAGAUUAUCAAGAAUAAAUUGCAUAGCAAGAUCAACAACGAAUGGUUCAACGACUUGAUGAUAUGUUACACCGAGUGGGAGUUAUUAAAGUAAGUUGAUGAUAAGGAUAUUAUUCGAACAUUUACAGCAAUGAAGUCUCGGAAAGGACAUUUGCCUCGUGAUUUUCUUUAG
rnacentral:rRNA from 1 species